AGAUUUGUAUUCCCCAUCAUCAUGACAUACUUUAAACUGCGCAGCUUUUACAGUUUUCUCCUGCAGCGUUGUCAGAUGUUCAACAUCGACGAGUUCAGAAAGAGUAUAAUAGGAGGGGGACCUCACAAUGGGGGAUGACAGAGGCACACAACAAUGUGCACAUACAAUAGCGAAGAGGGACUUGCAUGUUGCACUAGACUCGUCCACCCCCGACUAGUCGCCCACAUGCAAUCCACCUUGCAGGUCAGCCCAUGUCCCGUUCACUAACCUUCGCCUUCGUUAUUCAAGCAGCAUUCGCUAAGUUUAGCCAGCGAAGCCGAGACAGCAAACGCGUUUGCAUCCUCGAUACUCUUGCCACUAAGAUGCCUUGAAUCCAAAUGAAGAACAAGUGAAGAAACCAUAACCCCCGAGGUGCAACUCAAAGGCCCGCGCUGACAUAAAACGACGUUCUCCUACCUAAACCAAUCAGCAACCCAAAAACUAAGUGCUGAAACUUAGGGUUCUUUCUCAGAGCUCACGAUGAAGGUGAGGGCACGUCACACAUCAAGAUGCUGGCGUGAGACUCGAUGCCUCAUCCCGAGUGACGUCACGCUGCUGCCGCUGACGUCACUUCUUCCUUAGCCAGAAGGUUGCGUCACUCAGUCCCGCAGAAGCAGUUUCCACACUGCCCACAUGAUGAUGAUGAUGAUGAUGAUGAUGAUGAAGACAGAAAAAGCAUUAUACUUCCAGAAACUCCUAAGUAAUUGAGCAUUAAAAGAAAAAAACGUCCCUUCCCGUUUUAAUUACUUUUCAGUUUAUUUCAUUGCAUACUUUUAUUUGAUUUUACUUUAGAUUUUAGUAAAGUAGUAGAAAGCGGGAAAUCCAACUCCUUCCAUCGGAAAACAACCAUGGUUCGUUCGGAUGUAAACGGGGAAAUCCUGAGGGGAUUUAUUCCUAUUUAUACCUCCCUCGCUUCUUCUUAUUUAAUCUCACACUUCAGCAGAAAGCAAUCCACUGAGCUUGAUUCAACCAAAGAGCACACAAACUAGUGUGUGUGUGUGUGCGUGCGGUUUUUUUUUUUUUUUAAAGUGGCCGGAGGAUAA